GAUGAACGCUAGCUACAGGCUUAACACAUGCAAGUCGAGGGGCAGCAUGAACUUAGCUUGCUAAGUUUGAUGGCGACCGGCGCACGGGUGAGUAACACGUAUCCAACCUGCCGAUGACUCGGGGAUAGCCUUUCGAAAGAAAGAUUAAUACCCGAUGGCAUAGUUCUUCCGCAUGGUAGAACUAUUAAAGAAUUUCGGUCAUCGAUGGGGAUGCGUUCCAUUAGGUUGUUGGCGGGGUAACGGCCCACCAAGCCUUCGAUGGAUAGGGGUUCUGAGAGGAAGGUCCCCCACAUUGGAACUGAGACACGGUCCAAAACUCCUACGGGAGGCAGCAGUGAGGAAUAUUGGUCAAAUGGACGAGAGUCUGAACCAGCCAAGUAGCGUGAAGGAUGACUGCCCUAUGGGUUGUAAACUUCUUUAUACGGGAAUAAAGUGAGGCACGUGUGCCUUUUGUAUGUACCGUAUGAAUAAGGAUCGGCUAACUCCGUGCCAGCAGCCGCGGU
rnacentral:rRNA from 1 species